UACAGAGGGUGCGAGCGUUAUUCAUAGUUACUGGGCGUAAAGGGUACGUAGGCAGAGCAUAAAAAUUUUUGUUAGAAAAUCUGGAGUCAUAACUUCAGAACCAGACUUUUUAGAUUAGUGCUCUCCGAGUUAAUAACGGGUCGGAGGAACUUUUUAGCGAAAAAGGUAAAAUUUUUUAAAUUCUAAAAGGAAACGCCAAA
rnacentral:rRNA from 1 species